UACGAAGGGGGCAAGCGUUGUUCGGAAUCACUGGGCGUAAAGCGCAUGUAGGCGGUUUAUUAAGUCAGAGGUGAAAUCCCGGGGCUCAACCCCGGAACUGCCUUUGAAACUGGUAAACUAGAGUUCGGUAGGGGAUAGUGGAAUUCCUAGUGUAGAGGUGAAAUUCGUAGAUAUUAGGAGGAACACCGGUGGCGAAGGCGACUAUCUGGACCGAUACUGACGCUAAGAUGCGAAAGCGUGGGGAGCAAACAGG
rnacentral:rRNA from 1 species